ACUGCCGGCGCUCUCCCACAAGACUUCUGACUUCAGGCAUACUAACAACUGGCGCCGCUCAGGCUGCUUGCGAAUUCGCAAAGGACCCACCGAUUUCGACAACAGCUGGCGCCUUUUUCCUUAUAUCCAUAUCAAAACGACUCUGAAAUAAGUGUGCUCAACGCCUCUCUUUCUGACUCUCUCGAUCAAAAUGAUCUAGCAGACUUUGAGAGGUUUCUUUUUUCCAGUUCGCCGAGUUUGUCUCCGCCAGUGCUCCAACGCUCGACUGGAAAGAAUAUACGGCUAUCGACCCGUGAAAGACAAGAACUGCUUUCUACGCUGGGUCG